rnacentral:rRNA from 1 species
UACAGGAGGGGCAAGCGUUGUCCGGAAUUAUUGGCGUAAAAGGAGCUCGUGAGGCGGGUCUUGUCAGCGAUCCGGUGCGCUGUGAAAACCUGGGGCUCCAACUUCCGGGCCUGCAGCCGAUACGGGCAGACUUGAGAAUUCGGUAGGGGAGACUGGAAUUCCUGGUGUAGCGGUAGAAAUGCGACAGAUAUCAAGGAGGAACACCGGUGGCGGAAGGCGGGUCUGCCUGGGCCGAUAUUGACGGCUGAAGGAGCG